UACGUAGGGUGCGAGCGUUAAUCGGAAUUACUGGGCGUAAAGCGUGCGCAGGCGGUUCGUUGUGUCGGUGGUGAAAUCCCCGGGCUUAACCUGGGAAUGGCCAUGGAAACUGGCGAACUGGAGUGCGGCAGAGGGGGGUGGAAUUCCGCGUGUAGCAGUGAAAUGCGUAGAGAUGCGGAGGAACACCGAUGGCGAAGGCAGGUCUCUGGGCUGACACUGACGCUCAUGCACGAAAGCGUGGGGAGCGAACAGG
rnacentral:rRNA from 1 species